rnacentral:rRNA from 1 species
UAGCCGUAAACGAUACUCGCUAGGUGUCGGCCACGGUGCGACCGUUGUCGGUGCCGUAGGGAAGCCGUGAAGCGAGCCACCUGGGAAGUACGGCCGCAAGGCUGAAACUUAAAGGAAUUGGCGGGGGAGCACCACAACGGGUGGAGCUUGCGGUUUAAUUGGAUUCAACGCCGGAAAUCUUACCGGGACCGACAGCAACAUGAAGGCCAGGCUGAAGGCUUUGCCGGAUUAGCUGAGAGGUGGUGCAUGGCGUAGUCGUGU